GAUGAACGCUGGCGGCGUGCUUAACACAUGCAAGUCGAACGGAAAGGCCCAAGCUUGCUUGGGUACUCGAGUGGCGAACGGGUGAGUAACACGUGGGUGAUCUGCCCUGCACUUCGGGAUAAGCCUGGGAAACUGGGUCUAAUACCGGAUAGGACGAUGGUUUGGAUGCCAUUGUGGAAAGUUUUUUCGGUGUGGGAUGAGCUCGCGGCCUAUCAGCUUGUUGGUGGGGUAAUGGCCUACCAAGGCGUCGACGGGUAGCCGGCCUGAGAGGGUGUACGGCCACAUUGGGACUGAGAUACGGCCCAGACCCCUACGGGAGGCAGCAGUGGGGAAUAUUGCACAAUGGGCGCAAGCCUGAUGCAGCGACGCCGCGUGGGGGAUGACGGCCUUCGGGUUGUAAACUCCUUUCGCUAGGGACGAAGCGUUUUUGUGACGGUACCUGGAGAAGAAGCACCGGCUAACUACGUG
rnacentral:rRNA from 1 species